rnacentral:lncRNA from 1 species
UUCCAUAAGAGGUUUUUAAUAUCUGGAUUUCCUGUCAAUUUCAGUGAUUCGAAGUGAGAGCUAUUGCCUUUUUGAUACAGAUAGUGAAGAUGAAGAAGAACAUGAACACUCUGAAAUGAGAAAAAAAGAAUUAUUUAAAAAGAAAACAGCAUGGCAGCUUGCAUAUGAAGCCUGGAUGAGGAAUACAAAAUCAGCUCUAAAUAUGAGAGAGCAAGAUGAAAUCAAAAGUGAAAGAAAUAAAAAGGAGAAGGAAAGGAAAUAUGAGCAAUUGCCAGGGAUUGAAAGAGCUAAUGUCAGUUUGGAAUCCUCUGAUGAAAAUAUAGAGAUACUGGCUUCUGAAGAGGACUUGGAUAAG